AUUUGAUACAUUUUUCGGUGCUAGGUAUUCAGUUGUUGCAGUUCAGAAACGAGCAUUUUUCGUAUGAAAAAAGUGUAAAGAUAUGCUCCGGGAUACUGAGGACUAAAAAGGAAUCUCUAAAGCAGUAGCCAAGAACAGUGUUGUUCCGGACAAAUUCAAGAGGAACCUUCCGAUCACUGGAUGGAAAAUUAUUUGCAAUCGGACAUUCAGGCGAAAGCUGCACAGCGAUUCUGAGCAACUGAUUCCUAUGGAGCUCCGGAAGAAAAAUAUCGCGUUCUUUCCUUCUCCGCGGCACAGAAAGUAUCGGAAGAAGGUAACACGAAAGUUCAGUUACCUUAAAAGUAAGACCCAGAUACGGAUAGAGACGACCUGGAUGAUUUGAGGAUGUUUCCGGAGCGUACAAGGAAGAUGAUACUGGGCCCAGAUUCCAGGAGACGACCUGGCAGUUUCUCAUAGCACGGAUGAUCGGAGAGUUUUCCGCAAAACUUUCGAAGACGGUGGAUCCAAAACGAGCUAGUUAUUGACUCCCAAACUGCUACGGUACUCGGAGAGUCAUCACGGAAUUAUUCGGAUGGUGCGAGACGUACUAAAUUUUUCGGAAAUGUUCGGGUUUUCUUACUGAUCGAAGUACAAAUCCGAGCUAGCUCCAGUCCAGGUAGAUGACAAAGGCAAAACGGUCAGUGUAUGCAGAUACUUUUCCAC